rnacentral:rRNA from 1 species
AGGUUUGAUCCUGGCUCAGAACGAACGCUGGCGGCAGGCCUAACACAUGCAAGUCGAACGCAUCUCUUCGGAGGUGAGUGGCGCACGGGUGAGUAACGCGUGGGAACCUGCCCUGGGGUUGGGAAUAACGGAUGGAAACGUCCGCUAAUACCCGAUACGCCCUCAGGGGGAAAGAUUUAUUGCCCUGGGAGGGGCCCGCGUUGGAUUAGCUAGUUGGUGUGGUAACGGCGCACCAAGGCAUCGAUCCAUAUCUGGUCUGAGAGGAUGAUCAGCCACACUGGGACUGAGACACGGCCCAGACUCCUACGGGAGGCAGCAGUGGGGAAUAUUGGACAAUGGGCGCAAGCCUGAUCCAGCCAUGCCGCGUGAGUGAAGAAGGCCCUUUGGGUUGUAAAGCUCUUUCAGCGGGGACGAUGAUGACGGUACCCGCAGAAGAAGCCCCGGCUAACUUCGUGCCAGCAGCCGCGGUAAUACGAAGGGGGCAAGCGUUGUUCAGAUUUACUGGGCGUAAAGGGCGCGUAGGCGGAUGAUCAAGUCAGAGGUGAAAGCCCCGGGCUCAACCUGGGAAUUGCCUUUGAAACGGGUCAUCUUGAGGACGGGAGAGGAUGGUGGAAUACCCAGUGUAGAGGUGAAAUUCGUAGAUAUUGGGUGGAACACCGGUGGCGA